rnacentral:rRNA from 1 species
GACGUAGGGCGCAAGCGUUUGUCCGGAUUUAUUGGGCGUAAAGAGCUCGUAGGCGGCCUGUCGCGUCGACCGUGAAAACCCGCAGCUCAACUGCGGGCUUGCGGUCGAUACGGGCAGGCUGGAGUUCGGUAGGGGGAGACUGGAAUUCCUGGUGUAGCGGUGAAAUGCGCAGAUAUCAGGAGGAACACCGGUGGCGAAGGCGGGUCUCUGGGCCGAUACUGACGCUGGAGGUGCGAAAAGCGUGGGGGAGCAAAACAGG